rnacentral:rRNA from 1 species
CCGGGGCUUAGUGCCGGAGCUAACGCAAUAAGCACUCCGCCUGGGGAGUACGACCGCAAGGUUGAAACUCAAAGGAAUUGACGGGGGCCCGCACAAGCGGUGGAGCAUGUGGUUUAACUCGAAGCAACGCGAAGAACCUUACCAGGUCUUGACAUCCCGAUGCUAUUCUUAGAGAUAGGAAGUUACUUCGGUACAUCGGAGACAGGUGGUGCAUGGUUGUCGUCAGCUCGUGUCGUGAGAUGUUGGGUUAAGUCCCGCAACGAGCGCAACACUUAUUGUUAGUUGCCAUCAUUAAGUUGGGCACUCUAGCGAGACUGCCGGUAAUAAACCGGAGGAAGGUGGGGAUGACGUCAAAUCAUCAUGCCCCUUAUGACCUGGGCUACACACGUGCUACAAUGGUCGGUACAACGAGUUGCGAGCCGGUGACGGCAAGCUAAUCUCUGAAAGCCGAUCUCAGUUCGGAUUGGAGGCUGCAACUCGCCUCCAUGAAGUCGGAAUCGCUAGUAAUCGCGGAUCAGCACGCCGCGGUGAAUACGUUCCCGGGCCUUGUACACACCGCCCGUCACACCACGAGAGUUUGUAACACCCGAAGUCGGUGAGGUAACCUUUUAGGGGCCAGCCGCC